AAAUUGAAGAGUUUGAUCAUGGCUCAGAUUGAACGCUGGCGGCAGGCCUAACACAUGCAAGUCGAACGGUAACAGGAAGCAGCUUGCUGCUUUGCUGACGAGUGGCGGACGGGUGAGUAAUGUCUGGGAAACUGCCUGAUGGAGGGGGAUAACUACUGGAAACGGUGGCUAAUACCGCAUAACGUCGCAAGACCAAAGAGGGGGACCUUCGGGCCUCUUGCCAUCAGAUGUGCCCAGAUGGGAUUAGCUUGUUGGUGAGGUAACGGCUCACCAAGGCGACGAUCCCUAGCUGGUCUGAGAGGAUGACCAGCCACACUGGAACUGAGACACGGUCCAGACUCCUACGGGAGGCAGCAGUGGGGAAUAUUGCACAAUGGGCGCAAGCCUGAUGCAGCCAUGCCGCGUGUAUGAAGAAGGCCUUCGGGUUGUAAAGUACUUUCAGCGGGGAGGAAGGUGUUGUGGUUAAUAACCACAGCAAUUGACGUUACCCGCAGAAGAAGCACCGGCUAACUCCGUGCCAGCAGCCGCGGUAAUACGGAGGGUGCAAGCGUUAAUCGGAAUUACUGGGCGUAAAGCGCACGCAGGCGGUCUGUCAAGUCGGAUGUGAAAUCCCCGGGCUCAACCUGGGAACUGCAUUCGAAACUGGCAGGCUUGAGUCUUGUAGAGGGGGGUAGAAUUCCAGGUGUAGCGGUGAAAUGCGUAGAGAUCUGGAGGAAUACCGGUGGCGAAGGCGGCCCCCUGGACAAAGACUGACGCUCAGGUGCGAAAGCGUGGGGAGCAAACAGGAUUAGAUACCCUGGUAGUCCACGCCGUAAACGAUGUCUACUUGGAGGUUGUGCCCUUGAGGCGUGGCUUCCGGAGCUAACGCGUUAAGUAGACCGCCUGGGGAGUACGGCCGCAAGGUUAAAACUCAAAUGAAUUGACGGGGGCCCGCACAAGCGGUGGAGCAUGUGGUUUAAUUCGAUGCAACGCGAAGAACCUUACCUGGUCUUGACAUCCACAGAACUUUCCAGAGAUGGAUUGGUGCCUUCGGGAACUGUGAGACAGGUGCUGCAUGGCUGUCGUCAGCUCGUGUUGUGAAAUGUUGGGUUAAGUCCCGCAACGAGCGCAACCCUUAUCCUUUGUUGCCAGCG
rnacentral:rRNA from 2 species